ACUCAGACUUCAUGAAUGGAAAAAAAGAAACGUAACCCUAGAGUAGUGUUUGUAAUCUACUUAUCGAUCUUAUCAUUAUCAAUUUAUCACUAAACCUUUGACUUGAAAUCCGUCUACUCGGUGUCUAUUGCGUUAUCAGUUAAAAAUUAUGGAGUGAAACGCCAACCUACACGUUACAAGCUGCUGCUGCAUACUGUUGGGUGCGAUACAGAAAAAAACAGACGCCUGUUUUAGAAGUACUUCGCUUCCUAAUUCAAAAUGAAUUGAAUGUUCCCGCAUUAAAUAAGCGUAUGUAAUUAGAAUCAUGUACGCAUAUAUUUGCCGAACCGGAGUUAAUGCCAUGCCCAAGGAGCGAAGAUGGCAGCGGACCGAGGUGUUGGAUUAGUGAAUGUCCAUCCUGGACCGGAGUUCUCCGGAAUACGGAAAUCGUAGAAACAGUGUAGGGGACUGGAAGAACGUGACAAUGUCUGAAAUUUAAUGAUUACACAAUCUAUCAUAUUAUUUAUUGUGGUGUUAAUUACCACAAUUUUAGCAAGAGAAAUGAAAAACCUCAAUGGAUUCAUAGUCGUGCUACCAUAGUGGUGUCAGGUGCAGAUUGAAUUACAGGUAUACCUAUAAUAUAAUUUGGCAGGGUAACAAACUAUGACAGAUGACUGCAAAAUGGUCUUUUUUCGAAAAGAUCUUAGAAGGCCAUGGGAAGUUCCUAGCGCCGUCUACCGAUUAGGUACUACGUAUUUUUAAAAAGCACAACUUUAUUAACUACCGCUUCCUCAUUCGACCCGAAUUUAAUUUUUAAUUUCAUUGUUUUUUUUAAUUUUGAGAAAAAUCAAAAUUUUAGUACUUUGACGCCAAUUACCCGUUAAUUGUCAAUCAAUUUUAGACCAUCAACUGUACAGGCAAUCACAAAAAUGGGCGCAGAUAUCAACAUUUACUUUUCGUAAGUCGGAAGAUUAUUUAAAAAAAAUGGUUGGCCACAAUAAACAGAAUACCUAAAUGUUGAACCUUCUGGUAACUCAAGAAUGUGUGAAUUACAUUUCAGCGAAGUAGACAUUGAAAAAAGUCAUUUUCAUGACAGGUCUGGACGGUUUUUCACAUCAGCUCAUCCACAACCGAAGCAGGGUAAAUUUUAUAAUAAGGUCAGUUUAUAGAAGCGAAACUACUAAGUUUUAAUACCAAGUAAGCUGUCAUGAUUUUGUGAAAGUAUAAUGUCUGUAAUAAUACUGUUACGUUGAUUGGUGAAUAAAAUCGGCAUGGGUUAAACUCAAUAAUUUAGUUCUUAGUAACUCGGAUUUACCGAUUAAUUACAGAGCGAUUAU